rnacentral:rRNA from 1 species
UAGCUAGUUGGUGAGGUAAAGGCUUACCAAGGCGACGAUCUGUAGCGGGUCUGAGAGGAUGAUCCGCCACACUGGAACUGAGACACGGUCCAGACUCCUACGGGAGGCAGCAGUGGGGAAUUUUGGACAAUGGGGGCAACCCUGAUCCAGCCAUGCCGCGUGAGUGAAGAAGGCCUUCGGGUUGUAAAGCUCUUUCGGCCGGGAAGAAAUCGCAUGGGCCAAUACCCUGUGUGGAUGACGGUACCGGAAUAAGAAGCACCGGCUAACUACGUGCCAGCAGCCGCGGUAAUACGUAGGGUGCGAGCGUUAAUCGGAAUUACUGGGCGUAAAGCGUGCGCAGGCGGUUUUGUAAGACAGGCGUGAAAUCCCCGGGCUUAACCUGGGAACUGCGUUUGUGACUGCAAGGCUAGAGUACGGCAGAGGGGGGUGGAAUUCCACGUGUAGCAGUGAAAUGCGUAGAGAUGUGGAGGAACACCAAUGGCGAAGGCAGCCCCCUGGGUCGAUACUGACGCUCAUGCACGAAAGCGUGGGUAGCAAACAGGAUUAGAUACCCUGGUAGUCCACGCCCUAAACUAUGUCAACUAGGUGUUGGGUGGGUAAAACCAUUUAGUACCGUAGCUAACGCGUGAAGUUGACCGCCUGGGGAGUACGGCCGCAAGGUUAAAACUCAAAGGAAUUGACGGGGACCCGCACAAGCGGUGGAUGAUGUGGAUUAAUUCGAUGCAACGCGAAAAACCUUACCUACCCUUGACAUGCCAGGAACUUGCCAGAGAUGGCUUGGUGCCCGAAAGGGAGCCUGGACACAGGUGCUGCAUGGCUGUCGUCAGCUCGUGUCGUGAGAUGUUGGGUUAAGUCCCGCAACGAGCGCAACCCUUGUCGUUAAUUGCCAUCAUUUAGUUGGGCACUUUAACGAGACUGCCGGUGACGAACCGGAGGAAGGUGGGGAUGACGUCAAGUCCUCAUGGCCCUUAUGGGUAGGGCUUCACACGUCAUACAAUGGUCGGUACAAAGGGUUGCCAAGCCGCGAGGCGGAGCCAAUCCCAGAAAGCUGAUCGUAGUCCGGAUUGCAGGCUGCAACUCGCCUGCAUGAAGUCGGAAUCGCUAGUAAUCGUGGAUCAGCAUGUCACGGUGAAUACGUUCCCGGGUCUUGUACACACCGCCCGUCACACCAUGGGAGCGGGUUCCGCCAGAAGUAGGUAGCCUAACCGCAAGGGGGGCGCUUACCACGGCGGGGUUCGUGACUGGGGUGAAGUCGUAACAAGGUAGCCGUAGGGGAACCUGCGGCUG